GUUACCUACUGCGUGUCAAAGCUUUGGCUGGUCAGCAGAGCCCUUGGUGCCCUUCUCAAAAGUAUUUAAGAGCAGCAGCUGCUGGGGGUGGUGGAUACAUGAAGGGUGACACUGCUGAGGAGGAGGAGGUGGCUGGAGGUGCAUUCCUGGGAGGAGGCACAUUAUACCAUAGAAUAAUUUGGAGCCCUCUAACAGACACACAAAUGACUGCACCCGUCUCUGUAGUUUUUAGUUAUCUGAAUGGGGUGGAUGUUCAUAGAAAGGCCUUCACGAAGUUCUGAAAACCAUGGAGUAAUCUAGAAAAUACUAUACCAACACCCUGUUUUAUAGAACCCUGGGCAAUGGUAAGUAUUUCUUUGCCCUAGGUACUACAUCCAUAGCAAAUAAGCUAUUGAAGCAAGAGUUUCCUUCUGGAAAGCUCUAAAGACAGGGACUGAUCUGUGUAUUCUCAAAGUUUAUAAUCUCAGGGAAUGCAAGUCUUUUGAAUGCUUUGACAUUUACCUUGCCAAAACAAGCUGAGAAAUAUCACUCUAAAAAUAGGCCUGUCUUUUGAAUCUAUAUAUGCUUUAGGUAAGGCAUUCCUAAAGCUUAAAACAAUGAAUAUGUAACAAAAAUUCUCCUGCAGAACCAAUCUGUAAAGAUGAAAAGGAUGUUCAUUACUCUUAUUAUUUUUUAAAUUAAUCUUUAUGCCUUUUAAGGUCAAAUCCUGACCAUAUUUUUAUCUUCUAUAUAGUGUUUUUCUUUUCUUUUCUUUUCUUUUCUUUUCUUUUCUUUUCUUUUCUUUUCUUUUCUUUUCUUUUAUUUAAUUACUUUAAUUUUCUUCUGGUCUGAAGAUCAAGGAUGAUAGGGGUUCAAUCUAUAGAACUUCUGUCUGGGAAAUCUGAAUAAAGCUGGAUCAAUUUGAAUUAGAUGCUUAUUGUAGGGAGAAAUGAAAUGACAGGUGAAAUCCAAAGAGACAAUAUUCAGAAGUAAAGAUCUCUGGCUUGUCACUUCUGAAUGCAUUUGAACUGGAACAGAAAUCUGAUGCCUUGCUUUUUUGGAAGUACCCACAGAAACAUUAAGUACCUCCCACCAGACAAGCAGAACUAAUGUUCAAUUAUUUGACCAAAACAUUUUUGCUUGGGGAUAUUCUGUCAUUCUUGUUGCCAUGACCUCAAUUCUGUGAAGAUGUGCUUGUGAUACAUGUGUUAUACAUGUUUUACAAGUUAUGAACUGUGAACUCCUCACAAAAAGGUGAAUUGAUUUGUCAGUUGAAUGACCCUAGGUAUAAAACAGAAGGCCAAAAACUACACAAGAAUUUAAGAUUGUAACUCCUUCUAGGCUCCAACACUCGCCAUGAAAUUGAUGGGAGGAUAGGAGCCUAAGUAGCUACAUACAUCAUGGCUUGUCUUUUGACCCCGGUGCCUUGUCUUUAUAGCUUCUUUUCCUUAACCUUCUCCAUGUCCCCUGGAGUCAUGAUUUACAGAUAUUGCAAGGCUCACUUUGUGACACAAGAAUAAAGGAAAGUAGUUGUUUCUGGGCUACAUUUAAUGAGAUCCUGCAUUGGUAAAAUGUGGUGCCUAACAUGUCUUGCAGUUUGUAUGGUAGGUCAAUUAGCACACUGCCUUUGAAGGUGCCCUUGGACUGGUCCUUGUGUGAACUUGGCUGUCUAUCAGAAGCAUGACUGCACAGUUUUGUUGAAAUACACUACAUCAAAAAUAUACAGCAUCUGAACUGAAUCUUGAUCAGCUAAGAGGAGUUUGUGGUAACCUCUAUACAGAGAAGUUUUCCAUUUAUUGUACUUUUCAGCUAUGACUGCAUGAGAUCUGACAAAGGACAUACUUUUUGUCAACCUGGUAAUCCAGGGUGCCUGUUUUCUAACCAGACAGGGAAUGGCUGGGUAAUUUAUUUUCUGAGAGAUGGAGAAAGAUGAAUUUUAGGAAAAGAAUAUUAGGAAGAGUCAACACAGAUUUGCUGAAUUUCCGAUGAACAUUAACAUUUGUUUUCCCAUGAGGUCUGUAUCCAUAUGUUUCACUAGUGAACAUAAACUAAAGCAAAGUACCACUUCACCUGUACAGGCUAUGUUCUUAGAUGUAAUUUCAUGAUGUGUCUGGAAUACUGAUGUCUCUUAUGUAAAGAUGUUGAAAAUAAUGAUUUAAAUAA